rnacentral:rRNA from 1 species
UACGUAGGGCGCAAGCGUUGUCCGGAAUUAUUGGGCGUAAAGAGCUCGUAGGCGGUUUGUCGCGUCUGCCGUGAAAGUCCGGGGCUCAACUCCGGAUCUGCGGUGGGUACGGGCAGGCUAGAGUGAUGUAGGGGAGACUGGAGUUCCUGGUGUAGCGGUGAAAUGCGCAGAUAUCAGGAGGAACACCGAUGGCGAAGGCAGGUCUCUGGGCAUUAACUGACGCUGAGGAGCGAAAGCAUGGGGAGCGAACAGG